GGCAGACGGUCGCGCACCACGGUGUGAGGAAAGUCCGGGCUCCGCAGAGCAAGGGUGCCUGAUAACGUCAGGCGUAGGUAACUAUAGGGAAAGUGCAACAGAAAACACUCCGCCGAAACAGUUAGGCUGUGGUAAGGUUGAAAUGGCGAGGUAAGAGCUCACCGGCGUCCCGGAGACGGGGCGGCCUUGUAAACCCCACCCGGAGCAAGACCAAAUAGGGCUAAAGGCGGCUGCUCGUCGCCUCCGGUAGGUAGGUCGCUUGAGCUGCAUAGCGAUAUGCAGUCGAGAUAGAUGAUCGUCUAAUACAGAACCCGGCUUACAGCCGGGCCCA
rnacentral:RNase_P_RNA from 1 species